CCCUUAGAUGUUCUGGGCUGCACGCGCGCUACACUGGAGCGUUCAACGAGUAUUCACCUUGCCCGGGAGGGUUGGGUAAUCUUUUGAAAACGCUUCGUGAUGGGGAUAGAUUAUUGCAAUUAUUAAUCUUCAACGAGGAAUUCCUAGUAAGCGCGAGUCAUCAGCUCGUGUUGAUUACGUCCCUGCCCUUUGUACACACCGCCCGUCGCUCCUACCGAUUGAAUGGUCCGGUGAAAUGUUCGGACCGCGACAAGGCGGACGGUUCGCUGUCAGCUUUGCUGCGGGAAGUUCAUUAAACCUUAUCAUUUAGAGGAAGGAGAANUCGUANCA
rnacentral:rRNA from 1 species